rnacentral:rRNA from 1 species
GAUGAACGCUAGCGGCAGGCUUAACACAUGCAAGUCGAGGGGUAUGCCGAUUUAUCGGCAGAGACCGGCGCACGGGUGCGUAACGCGUAUGCAAUCUACCUUUCACAGAGGGAUAGCCCAGAGAAAUUUGGAUUAAUACCUCAUAGUAUAGCAAUUUCGCAUGAAACCACUAUUAAAAGUUCCAACGGUGAAAGAUGAGCAUGCGUCCCAUUAGCUAGAUGGUAAGGUAACGGCUUACCAUGGCUACGAUGGGUAGGGGUCCUGAGAGGGAGAUCCCCCCACACUGGUACUGAGACACGGACCCAGGACUCCUACGGGAGGCAGCAG